rnacentral:rRNA from 1 species
ACGCACGCUGGCGGCGUGCCUAAUACAUGCAAGUUGAGCGAUGAAGAUUGGUGCUUGCACCAAUUUGAAGAGCAGCGAACGGGUGAGUAACGCGUGGGGAAUCUGCCUUUGAGCGGGGGACAACAUUUGGAAACGAAUGCUAAUACCGCAUAACAACUUUAAACAUAAGUUUUAAGUUUGAAAGAUGCAAUUGCAUCACUCAAAGAUGAUCCCGCGUUGUAUUAGCUAGUUGGUGAGGUAAAGGCUCACCAAGGCGAUGAUACAUAGCCGACCUGAGAGGGUGAUCGGCCACAUUGGGACUGAGACACGGCCCAAACUCCUACGGGAGGCAGCAGUAGGGAAUCUUCGGCAAUGGGCGAAAGUCUGACCGAGCAACGCCGCGUGAGUGAAGAAGGUUUUCGGAUCGUAAAACUCUGUUGGUAGAGAAGAACGUUGGUGAGAGUGGAAAGCUCAUCAAGUGACGGUAACUACCCAGAAAGGGACGGCUAACUACGUG